UACGUAGGGUGCAAGCGUUAAUCGGAAUUACUGGGCGUAAAGCGUGCGCAGGCGGUUUGGUAAGACAGAUGUGAAAUCCCCGGGCUUAACCUGGGAAUUGCAUUUGUGACUGCCCGGCUAGAGUGUGUCAGAGGGGGGUAGAAUUCCGACGUGUAGCAGUGAAAUGCGUAGAUAUGUGGAGGAAUACCGAUGGCGAAGGCAGCCCCCUGGGAUAACACUGACGCUCAUGCACGAAAGCGUGGGGAGCAAACAGG
rnacentral:rRNA from 1 species